rnacentral:rRNA from 1 species
AUGGACUUGAAUACUAUCCAUCUUGGACAUCCACUUAUUCUUUCCAGUAAGAAUAGAGUCGCUGCCUAUAGCUUUAUCAUUGACAAAUUUAAAGUUAAAUUAAAUAUCUAUAAGGCUAAUAGGCUCUCACAUGCUGGUAGACUCACUCCAAUUAAAUAUGUUUUUGCAUCUUUGCCUAUUUAUUACAUGUCUACUAUCCUUUUGAAUAAAGGCACUAUAUCCAAGAUUACCUUCGUUGUUAGAAAAUUUUGGUGGACAGGAGUCCAGAAAGAUAAUGAGUCGAAGCCUAUUUGCUUUAGAUCUUGGGAAGACAUCUGCAAACCUAUGCAUGAAGGUGGGUUAGGAAUUAGAGAUUUCUCCAUUGUGAAUAAAUAUUUAUUGUCUACGACAUUUUGGAGAAUUAUUAAUUACCCAAGUUCUCAAAGCGAUAUACUUCCAUAA